rnacentral:rRNA from 1 species
AGAAUCAACGCUGGCGGCGUGCCUAACACAUGCAAGUCGAACGAGAAAGUGGAGCAAUCCAUGAGUAAAGUGGCGACCGGGUGAGUAACACGUGACUAACCUACCUUCGAGUGGGGGAUAACCUCGGGAAACCGAGGCUAAUACCGCAUAACAUCGUGAGAUCAAAGCAGUAAUGCGCUGGAAGAGGGGGUCGCGGCUGAUUAGCUAGUUGGCGGGGUAAUGGCCUACCAAGGCGAAGAUCGGUA